rnacentral:rRNA from 1 species
CGUAUAUUUAAGUUGUUGCAGUUAAAAAGCUCGUAGUUGGAUUUCGGUUAAGAGCGACCGGUCCGCCGUUUGGUGUGCACUGGUUGGUUUUAACUUCCUGUAGAGGACGUGCUCUGGGCUUAACGGUCUGGACUCGGAGUCUACGUGGUUACUUUGAAAAAAUUAGAGUGUUCAAAGCGGGCUUACGCUUGAAUAUUUCAGCAUGGAAUAACACUAUAGGACUCCUGUCCUAUUUCGUUGGUCUCGGGACGGGAGUAAUGAUUAAGAGGAACAGUUGGGGGCAUUCGUAUUUCAUUGUCAGAGGUGAAAUUCUUGGAUUUAUGAAAGACGAACUUCUGCGAAAGCAUUUGCCAAGGAUGUUUUCAUUAAUCAAGAACGAAAGUUGGGGGCUCGAAGAUGAUUAGAUACCAUCCUAGUCUCAACCAUAAACGAUGCCGACUAGGGAUUGGCGGAUGUUAAUUGAUGACUCCGCCAGCACCUUAUGAGAAAUCAAAGUUUUUGGGUUCCGGGGGGAGUAUGGUCGCAAGGCUGAAACUUAAAGGAAU